AUGGCUGAGGACGAUGACCACGACUAUCAUGAGCUAUUUCCGUCCGUGAAGGCUCAGGUUUUCUUAUGUUUCAUCGACCAGUUUCAGUGGCUCCACUCAGGACGCAUGCGUGAAACCAAAUUCGGUCUCAUAACUGAGCUGACUUGUAAAGGGUUCAGAAAAAGGGAGAUCUUGGAAAGGUCGGCGCAUCUCAAGGACGACAGCUUCACCAUCCGUUGCGACAUCGUUGUACUUGACGCCAAGGCGGAUAUCAAAUCCAAGCAGGGCGCUAGCACCAUGGCUCCUCCGUUCAUCCAAGUCCCUCCUUCUGACAUGCCAAUCCAUUUCAAAAAUCUCCUCCUGUCCGAGGAGGGUGCUGACGUGACGUUUGUGGUUGGCAGUGAAACGUUUGCUGCACACGAUUGCGUACUUGCAGCGCGAUCUACGGCCUUCAAGUCACAGCUGUUCGGUGACAAACUUGGCACUGCUAUCGUGAAGAUCGAUGAUAUUGAAGCAGAAGUGUUUGAGGGCAUGCUUACUUUCAUCUACACUUGA
rnacentral:rRNA from 1 species